UCCAUUCAACAUCAGUUAUGCUUGGGUAAAGAGUGGUUACCUCCGUUAUAAGUUAUAAAUAAACCCUUAAUUGUCCCAUCACUCAUUCCAUUCUUAAUGCAUAUGUUAAAAUUAGCAAUGUGAGUUUCUUUAAGCUAUUCUUUCGCACUCUUGAUAAUUUCAUGCUAUUUUUAACACUAUCUGUGUUGAAUCUAUUCCACAACCAGUGUUUGUUUGAUAUAGUCGAAAGGUUUAUAAUAAUUACAACUUAACAAUUAAGGCUUUAAUAGAAUUGAUUGU
rnacentral:lncRNA from 1 species